AGACUUCUGUUCUCUGCCUGGUGAGCAAUGGUUGCACUGUGCCUUCUUUAUGUAACCAUCUCCCUUCACACCCCCAUUGGUGGAUAGGAAUCCAGGGCCUCAUGCGUGUGAAGAAGCAUCAUCAAGCCACAUCAGCACAGUGCACUUCCAAGGAGCACUUGCUUGUGGUGGGGAAGCCCAGGAGAUGAGCAAUCAAUGAUAAUGCCCUUCUAAGGAAACCACAUACAACCAGCCCAAAUCACCUGUCUUCAGUCAUCCAGAUCAUAACCUUGAUGGUUGUCAUCUACAUUCGGCCUCUAGGGGCGCUCCCCUCUGCAUUGAGACUGGGCCUCCUUCUGCCCUGACACAGAGCUCAGCUUCCAAAGUCUAAGUCUCUCCCUUAUCCUCCAGCUUUGAUUAUAAAGAUGAUCUUUGGGACUCUCAUUUUCUCUUUUCCUGGCAUACAUAAGCAGUUUCUAUGGUGCAAACCCACCGUAUUCAGUUACAAAACUACAGUUGUUACAAAGCAGGAAAACACCAAGGACUUAGAUGUGGUGAUGGUGUCUUACACCAGAAUCCAAGCAAUAACAGAGACCCCGGACUUAGGAAAAAAGCCUUAAGCGGCUGUGGUUGUGCUGACCUGCAGUCCCAGCGCUGGGGACAGGCGAGCAGGAAGAACAUGAGUGUGAGCCCAGCCUGGGCUGGGGAAGUGGCUCCUGAGGAAGAGCACUUACUGUUCAAACAGGAGGACGCAUGGCCAUAAUCCCUGUGCCCAGGUAGCCUAGCGCAUUAGUAAUGGCCUUAAGUAAUGGCAAUCCAGAUGUUUACCAGGAAAUGGAGGUGGGGACUUCAAAGGAAAGUUGCAGCAAAGGAGCCUCACCUUGCACUGAAUCAUCUCCAAAGCUGGUAAUAGAACAGAACGGCUGAGACUGUGCAGUGGUUACAAUGUUGCAGGUUCAGGGUUAUUGUAAUUUAUUUUAGGAUUUAUUUACCACCCUUAAUGGCCAUUCCUUGGCUACUUCUCUUCUGAUGUAACAUCCUGUGACUAACAGAAUCUUUAGGACUGCAUUUUAACACCCUAGCUUCCUCCUACCAGAAGCCCGUGAGUCAUCAGAUGCCACCUGGAGCCUAUAGCAGAGGUGUCCUGAAUUCGCUGUAACCCCUUUACCUGACGUUUUCACUAGUGUGCUUGAAAAGUACCUCAAUUGAGGACUUCCUUUGUUGUUACUAUAAAAACUUCAUCUUAUUGAUACCUGGAA